UGCCAUUUUGUGAUCUCCACCCUACACCACACUCAAAAAACUAGAACAUCUAUCCUCCAUAUCAUAAACACACAGCAAACCCAGCGUUGAUUACGUGGGAGGGUCCGUGGGUGUGGCUGGUGAAGGAAGAGAUGAGGGGAAGGAGCUGGCUGGCUGGGUCUUGAGCCUUGCCUAGUCCCAUCAUGACUGGUGGGGUGACCCUGGGCAAGUGGCCUCCCCUCGACCAGCCUCAGUGUUCUCUCUUUAAAAUAGGGGCAGUGGUACCUUUCCUCACACUGCUGCUGUCAGUGUGAAAUGUUGUCAGUGUUGUUGAGCAAAUGGCUAAGGCUCACCCUUAGCCCACUGGCCAAGCUGAGCAAAAGCAAAUUGUGACUUGCUCUUUCUCCUGCUGGGACCCUGGAGAAGCCCUAGGGCAUCCAUCUGUAGAGACCAGAGAGGGACACAGCCCACCUCCCAGCACCACCUUAUCACAGGCCCAAACCCUCGAAAGAGGACCCUGCAGUCUACCCUGCGGCCGCUGCUGGAAGGCGGAGUGAGGGUGACGUCCAAUCCUGACCAGACCCAGCUUCUCUUUUCUAGGUGCUGGAAAUACAGCUGUGGACAAAACAGAGUCCCUGCCCUCCAAGAGUGCACAGCCUACAGAAGGGAGCUAGAGAAGGAACAGACGCGAAAGCUACGAAGUGUCACAUGACAGCCAGAGCUGAGGGCAAAUAAAGCAGGGAGCAGAGUGUGUCUGUCCAGCCGCUCUCCCCUUCUGUGUCCCCAGGAAAAUGAUGGCAUUUUCUGCACCAGGGUCCUUCACAUUGUCGGCCUGGUUUAUUCCUAGGUAUUGUGUGCGUCCAGACCCUGUGAUGCAGAGGAGCAGCGGUUCCUGCCACCGCCCUCCGUUCUCUCACCAGCGCUGUGCAACAACGUGCUUUUGUAUUCUUUCCACCCUUUGCAAGCGAGGCUUUGACCCUUCUGUUGUCACCGUCCCUGAGCUGUGCUAUUUUGUCAUGUGCCUUAGUAAUUAGCCGGGCUCCCUGCCACCUGCCCUGGCAUGCAGUUUUGCCCUUGGACUCAGCAUAAAGCUCUGGGGAUCGCCAGCAGGUAUAUCUUGCUACCCUCCUACUCGUCUUCUUGCAC
ensembl:lncRNA